rnacentral:rRNA from 1 species
UACGGAGGGAGCUAGCGUUGUUCGGAAAUACUGGGCGUAAAGCGCACGUAGGCGGCGCAGCAAGUCAGGGGUGAAAUCCCGGGGCUCAACCCCGGAACUGCCCUUGAAACUGCAGUGCUAGAAUUCUGGAGAGGCGAGUGGAAUUCCGAGUGUAGAGGUGAAAUUCGUAGAUAUUCGGAAGAACACCAGUGGCGAAGGCGACGCGCUGGACAGACAUUGACGCUGAGGUGCGAAAGCGUGGGGAGCAAACAGG